rnacentral:ncRNA from 1 species
AUAUUGACGUUGAAGGGGAAGAGUAAGCAGCCAAGCCUUCAGAGAGCGGGACUGUAACGCUGAAAGGUACCGCAGGAAUUUACUGCUUCGCUUGUCGCCCCGGAGUUGCUUGAAAGAAGCGGGUUUAUCCGUUAUUUCAAGCCGGCCGCAGCCGUUAUCUGUUUGAGUGCCGUGCUUGCUUUUCUGAGGUGCGGAACAAAGGUGGUACCACGGAAGAUAACCUUUCGUCCUUUGC